AAAAAAAAUAGGAGAGAGUGUAAUUACUUCCAAAAGGGUUGGGUAUUUAUGUCAUUUAUACUUUCAGUAAUUACGCAAAAUAUCAGAAUUUUCUGUAAUUAAGCUACAAACUGUCGAAAUUUAUGUUGUUGGGCCUUAUACUAAUUUUCAGCUAAAGCCCAACUGGAUUGGGCCGGCCCAUGGGCUCUAAAUAUAGAAACAAAUUGUUUUCUUUGUGAAAAUAUAAAUAGGAAAAUUUUAGUAUAAUUAGUUUUCUUUUCAUUUUGUGUCUCUCUCUCUGCGUUCGGCACUCUUUCGAGAUCUUCUUCUUAGGAGAAAGCUGUACGCAGAGAGAAAUGGCAAUGAGAUCUAGUAGUUUGCUGUUUGUUUUUGUUGUAGUUGUAGUUCUUUUCUCGGUUUUUGUGCCAGGGAUUCAGGCACAAAAGGGAUUUGCUCCCGCACCUGCUCCUGCCAGCGACGGUACAACAAUUGACCAAGGGAUUGCAUGUGUAUUGAUGUUGUUGGCCUUAGCAGUGACAUACCUUGUUCAUGUUGUUGAUGUUCCUUUUUAAUCAGCUUACAUUAACUUGAAUUUAAGUGCCUAGGUUUAUGGCAUAUUUUCAAUUUUGAAAAUGUAGUUGUUUUUAUGCCUAGGAUACUUUAAUGUAAUCUCGAUCUGUAUUUAGGAACAAUUUAACUUUGACGAUGAGCAAAUCUUUUUUGAGGUUCCAACAAUAUUUAUAUAACUCGGUGUUAAGUCUUUUGUUA